CCGGUGCCUUCGCCGGGUGCGACAUUCAUUGGAACGUGGACCUCCCCAGUCUCAGCCGGACUGGAGCCACCGGUCGCCGGUGUUCUGGUGCUGUUAUCGGAGCGUGCAGGCCAUCUGUUUGCCGCUGACGUUCGGCGAGCCCGGAGUUACCUGCAGCGCAGGGGUCUUGUGGCAGCUGACAUCCCACGGUUUAACAGAUUACCUACAAGGGUUUCUUUAUGGGCCAUUUCCAAAGAAGAUAAAUGGAUAAAAUGAUUUGAUUUACCAAGUGAACCCCACCAUGAGUUGAAUACCCGCAAUCCUUUCUUUUUGUCUCCUGUUAGAGUUGUUUCUGUGUGUAUGGGAAGCUUGCUUUUGCAGUUUUAGUCAUGAGUGCAAAUUUUUUUGCACAGGUUUACAGAAUAUUGGUGUUACUAUUCUUAAAUAACAGUGAAGACAGAAGACUGGAUUUGUCUUGAAUAACAAUGAAGACUGAUAGAAAUGAGACUGGAUUUGUCCUGCUGGGAAGGGCAAUGCUGCAGCUCUGCUCCGCCUCCACCAGUCAUCUCUGCAUGACUCACCAGUAAUUUGUAUCGAUCAGCUCUACACAAAAUAUUUAUUAUUCAUUUCCUAUUAGUCAGUCCUGCCAGUCUCCAUUUUGUGCCUGCUCUAGGUUUAACUUCAGUUGCUUUUAAUAAUACUCUUCAAUUUGGGCUUAAAGGUGUUGCAUUGGUGUCGGCUGCUUUUAAAUAUCAUAAAUCCGAAAUGUCUGUAUGAUUUGUGGACGCAAAUUAGUUUAUUGUUGAAAGUUUUUUUUUUUUUUUCAUUCAUCAUUGAUCCUCAAAUUGGGGUGAUAAGAGGAGGUAAUUUAGUCUUCAGAAAUUAGGGCAGGGGUUUCCAGACCUCUUGUAGGGUACCCCCAGCUGAUCCAGGGCUUGAUUAGUUGUAUCGGGUGCAUUUGAGGUGGAACGCAUAAAAUACCUGUACCUGGCUGGGGGUCCCCAAGGAGAGGUUUUCUUCCAUAGUGAACUAGGGGAACAAAGCACCCCAAGUAAGGUAGUGACUACACAUUCAUGAUUUUACAUUUUUUUGGAUGAAAAGUAUGGGAUGCAGUCAGUUACAGCAUCUCUGAAGUGCUUAAAAACAUUUUAUUAUUACAUUUUCUUUUGUAUGUGCACAGGGGCAGCUGUACAUUGUAGCCUGAUAUUCCUGGAACUCCAUUAUAAAAAAUGUAUGAAAGCAGUGUGUGCAUUGUGGAAUUAUGCUAUUCAAUCUCUCCUGAGGCAGGCAGCCUUCAUUAUGUCAGGGUGGGUGUUAUACUUUAUAGGACUUGGGUCUAGAUAGAAAUGUGAAUGUGCUUUUCGUUCUUUGAGAUUAUAUGGUCCGAGGUGCUCUGCUUUAUCACCUUAUGGUCUUGUGGUUACUCUGCAAAACCACAGAAGCUCAAUGCAUUUGUUCCCGGACAAAGUACUGGAAGAGGUGUUGACGGUUCAUUAAAGGGGGGCACACCCGUUUGGACCUAACGGUGGAAAAGCAGUUCCCUUUAGCAGUCAUGGGAAUUCUGUACCAGCAUGUCAGUUAAGGCCUUAAACCAAGAUAAUUAAAAAUCCUUUGGUGUUCUUUAUGAAUUGUGAGAUGCUCCUGGCUGAAAUCCUUACCUGGCUUGACUAAUUUGGCUCCCUGAUAGUGCUCAGAUAUUAGGCAGCUGUAUGGGGCUUCUCCCUGGCCUUACUAAUGUGGCUCCCUGAUAGUGCUCAGAUAUUAGGCAGCUGUAUGGGGCUUCUCCCUGGCCUUACUAAUGUGGCUCCCUGAUAGUGCUCAGAUAUUAGGCAGCUGUAUGGGGCUUCUCCCUGGCCUUACUAAUGUGGCUCCCUGAUAGUGCUCAGAUAUUAGGCAGCUGUAUGGGGCUUCUCCCUGGCCUUACUAAUGUGGCUCCCUGAUAGUGCUCAGAUAUUAGGCAGCUGUAUGGGGCUUCUCCCUGGCCUUACUAAUGUGUAAAUACCUGCCAAAUCAACUAGGUGGGUGCUGCACAUGUUGCAUAAAAGCGUAAUUCCACUGUUCGGCCAUCUUGACGAUCGAAGAGAGGAUGUUCCAAGCGGACACCUCCCUGUUCUUCCUACGCGCACAUUCCUCAGGAUGUGUUAUUGAAAACCGUCAGCUCCAAUCUCAUAUUCACAAAUGGGCCGGUCCCUGAAUUCACUUCAUGUUUUUGUUCUAUUAUCUUUCUGUUGUGUUUCUGUGGAAUUCUGUUUUUGUUUAUACGUUCAGUCAAACAGUGGACCUCUGCUCUUAUGGGAGUUAUCCAUUACUCAGUGUGGCAUGUCGUCGGUGUUUUAAAAAAACAACAAAAAAAACCUGAAAGCAUAAACAUUGUAUUUCCAUAUUUGAAAAAUAAAACAUUUUCAUCACUGAUAUUUCACAGCUCUCUGCCUAGUAAGGUAACCAUGUAACUAAGACAUUACAUUUAUUGUUACAUUGCAUGUUACGUGUAAUCGAAUAAUAAAACGUUUUCUUAUUUCUCAUUUGAAAGGUUGUUUGGAGAUAAAGGUUUUUUAUGAUGAGGUUUUUUUUUAAUGAUGCUAUUAUGAUUUCUAAACCACUGGCCACUGGCAUACCAAGCUGUGAAAGGCACUGCCCCCUUCCUGUGUUCAAAUGAUGACUUUGCGCCGCAAACUGCCGCCAGACCUCGCUGUUGAGGCCCCUCCCACCAGCUGGCUGUUCUCUUCAGGCACCUGGCAGCCACCCCGCCCGACUCUGCGCGUCCAUCGCCCCGGGACAGGGCAGUGACCUUCCCCGGUCUUUCUGAGAACGCGCCUUCUCAGACUGUAAAACAGGAUUGUUUUACUUGAAAAUAUGAAAUGGAUACGGUAUGGCAUAUAUACGAUGCACUGGCAAUCCAUGCCUUUGCUG